AGGGGGUGAACCUGCGCAAGGAUCAUUA
rnacentral:rRNA from 1 species